AGGCGCGUAGCUCAGCUGGUUAGAGCAUCACCUUGACAUGGUGGGGGUCGUUGGUUCGAGUCCAAUCGCGCCUA
rfam:Betaproteobacteria bacterium RIFCSPLOWO2_02_FTLL_65_20 rifcsplowo2_02_scaffold_30984, whole genome shotgun sequence.